rnacentral:rRNA from 1 species
AACGAACGCUGGCGGCAGGCCUAACACAUGCAAGUCGAACGCUGUAGCAAUACAGAGUGGCAGACGGGUGAGUAACGCGUGGGAACCUUCCCAGUGGUGCGGAAUAGCUCAGGGAAACUUGAGGUAAUACCGCAUAAGCCCCUAGGGGGAAAGAUUUAUCGCCAUUGGAUGGGCCCGCGUCGGAUUAGCUAGUUGGUGAGGUAAUGGCUCACCAAGGCAACGAUCCGUAGCGGUUUGAGAGAAUGACCAGCCACACUGGGACUGAGACACGGCCCAGACUCCUACGGGAGGCAGCAGUGGGGAAUCUUGGACAAUGGGCGCAAGCCUGAUCCAGCCAUGCCGCGUGAGUGACGAAGGCCUUAGGGUUGUAAAGCUCUUUU